AUUGAACGCUGGCGGCAGGCCUAACACAUGCAAGUCGAGCGGAUGAAGGGAGCUUGCUCCUGGAUUCAGCGGCGGACGGGUGAGUAAUGCCUAGGAAUCUGCCUGGUAGUGGGGGAUAACGUCCGGAAACGGGCGCUAAUACCGCAUACGUCCUGCGGGAGAAAGUGGGGGAUCUUCGGACCUCACGCUAUCAGAUGAGCCUAGCUCGGAUUAGCUAGUUGGUGGGGUAAAGGCCUACCAAGGCGACGAUCCGUAACUGGUCUGAGAGGAUGAUCAGUCACACUGGAACUGAGACACGGUCCAGACUCCUACGGGAGGCAGCAGUGGGGAAUAUUAGACAAUGGGCGAAAGCCUGAUCCAGCCAUGCCGCGUGUGUGAAGAAGGUCUUCGGAUUGUAAAGCACGUUAAGUUGGGAGGAAGGGCAGUAAGUUAAUACCUUGCUGUUUUGACGUUACCAACAGAAUAAGCACCGGCUAACUUCGUG
rnacentral:rRNA from 1 species